AUGGAGUGGCUGAAUGAGGAUGUAGAGGAUCCGAUUGUGGAUGGAGCUGAUGCAGCUAGUGCUGUUUUUGAGCAAAUAAGGCACCUCAACUCAAGCAGGAAGGCGUCUUAUGUUGGUUCAAAGGGUAAUAACAAGAAAAGAAAGAGGAAUGAUGAUGAUGAGAAUGAGUUUCUUGAAACUGAGAGUGAGGAUGAUGAAGAAGAGAAUGAAUAUGUUGAUAAUGACAUCGAGGAUGAUGAUGGGGUGAGUGAGGAUGAUGAGGAUGGUGAACAAGAUCAGCUAGAGACACAAAUGCAAAUUGAAGAAGAGACACAAGUACAAGUUCAAAAGGAGGCACCAACAAGCACUGGCCAUUUGGAGACUAGAUCUGGACGACUUAUUAGGAAGAAGACCAAGAACGUCAACAGCCUCUACUCGUAA
rnacentral:rRNA from 1 species